GAUCGCUGCAGCUGCAGGGAGAUCGAGGGGACAAGAGGAGCAGAAGAACAUCACAGUAGAGUUUGGCAGGGAGAAAAGUUCUGACAGGUCUUCUUUGUCUUCCUUUGCCAUGCAAAGUCAUUUAAGUUUUGCAGCUUUAGAAAAUUCAUCCCAGAAUGUCAUGGAAGGUUUUUAGCAAAAGGGCCUAAGACUGAACAGUGGAGUGACGGAGAUCAUUCGGAAGGAAGAAUGGGAGGUUACAUGGGAAGUGAGGGAAAGAAAGAAUGGAGACACUUCCAUGAAUCCAGGCACUUCCUACAUCCAAAGGAACGUGUGUGACUUUAUAGGACCUUGGCCAGAUGUCUGAGUCUGAGAGCUGAGGGAGCAUUUCCACCAUGAUGCGCUCCUGAAAUUCAGAAAUGCAUAGCAACUACAGAUUUGGAAGAUUUUUGUAAAGCUCCUAACACAUGCCACUUGGAAGCAUAUCAAACCUAGGAGACCAUUAGAGUGGAGUCUUCCUGACUAAGAGGCCUGAAGAAAUCACCAAUGAACCAAGUGGUCCAAGUGAAGUCAUUGGAGACUACAGAAAGCCUCUGUCAAGUCCUGUUUACUUCCUGGUGUUAAUGACCUUCCCAGAAAGCAUCGCUACUGGAAUCAAGAGGAGGAAGCAAUUCUACAAUUACAAACAAGAGCUGACCAUGAUGGCACAUAGAUGAACAUCUCUGAGGCAAUGAUGAAUAAGCCACCAUCGAAAUGACCGUAUCCCAUCCAGCCAGCUCAGAACAGGUACAGGCUGAGGUCCUGGAGUCCUCAGAUAGACCUUUACUCAUGGGCCAUCCAGCUUCUUCUCCAUCCUCAGCUGCACAAGUCACAGAACACAGAAGACACUAAUUCAGUCCAUCCACAUUCAAGUGGACAAAACUUGGAUCGGGAGAAGGGAAGCAUCUUGCUUAUGAAUUCUCACGUAACGGGCAUCGAGACCCCUCCACCCCACGAAGGUCUCCUGCCUUCAAACCUGACUCCUUCUUCCAUAUGCAUUCUGCCCCCACCCACUUCUGCCUCCUGGUGUUCCAAGAGUGAAAAGGGCAUCUUUAGCAACUCGAUCAGCCAUAAUAUUCUGAAUAAACCUCCCCUGGAGUGGGCUU